UACAGAGGUCUCAAGCGUUUGUUCGGAUUCAUUGGGCGUAAAGGGUGCGUAGGCGGCGCGGUAAGUCGGGUGUGAAAUCUCGGAGCUUAACUCCGAAACUGCAUUCGAUACUGGCCGUGCUUGAGGACUGGAGAGGAGACUGGAAUUUACGGUGUAGCGGUGAAAUGCGUAGAUAUCGUGAAGGAGACCAGUGGCGAAGGACGGGGUCUCUGGACGUUCCUGACGCUGAG
rnacentral:rRNA from 1 species